ensembl:lncRNA
CUUCUGACUGGAGGAGGCACGCACUCGGAGCGGGGAGUGUUUUAUGUGACUGCUGCCACUCAUGGACACGUUUGUGAGAGGAAAAUUGUCUGAAUGGCAGCUUGAAAAUCUUAUAGACACCUUUAAAGCUGCUAAAGAGGAGACAGCUUUGAAGGUCCUGCCAACUCUGCUUCCCCCAUCCAUCUAUAGGAGAGGAGGAAAGGUCUUCAGACCCACCACAGAGGAGGCCCAGAAGUCAUUUAUUGACAUGCAGCCUGUUGGGACCAACAUGGUUGAAUAUUUAAACCAUGAGAUGACUGGAGCAUUGCUGCACAUUCUAUGCCUCAGUGAUGAGACAAGGGGGACAUCACAGACCUUUGCCAUUAUUCCAGGCCACGCCAUUGAGACUGUGUCUUUGUUGGAGGCGGUUGAUCUUUGCUUUAAAGCUUUUUUUGUUUUUGAUGUUCAGUACACCAAGCAGUGUCUCCCCACCUGGGAGUUUCUCCAGCAUGCUGUAUAUCAAAUUGAAGGAAAAGAGUCCUCCUCUGUAAAGUUUUUGAGGACAACAGUGGUUUCAGGCCCACAUGAUAUGUAGAUGAUUUUAAAAUGUAUUUUGUUGCUGUUCUUAAAUCAACACAUCUUAAUAAAUUAAAUUGUAAUCGUAUGAGAGUUCAAAUUAGUUGUUUAAUGACUUUUAAAGCCUGAAUAUUUGGACAGAUUUACAUUUGUUAUAAAGUCUGUGGGGAAGGGUGAAUGUCAG